AAGGCUCAAGCAGCAGAACUCUCAGUCGAAUGAGAUUAACUGACAUGCCAGAACCUCUCGCAAAAAGAAGAGCAAUUGAUGACAUAGCACCUGGACCGUUUGGACUGCAAAAUCAAGAGAACUUAAUUCCUACCAACAUGAAUAUGUCCAGCAGUGGCCCCAGCCAUCAAGAUUGAACGAUUUUGGAGAAUGCGGGACCUGCUGCCACAUGCUGUGCAAUGUCAGAAAUUGGCUUGGACAGAGAACAUCUGUCUUUUCACAGUUAACCUUUCAUCAGCCAGCACAAUGUCUGGGUAAGUCAGGCAAUUUGGGGGGGGGGGCGGUAUGAUGCUGUACAUGUUAACAUUUAUAACUGAGAACAUAGAUAGGUAAAAGGAAAAAAUAAAUAUCUAAUGAA